rnacentral:rRNA from 1 species
CCUACGGGAGGCAGCAGUGAGGAAUAUUGGUCAAUGGCCGUAAGGCUGAACCAGCCAAGUCGCGUGAAGGAUGAAGGAUCUAUGGUUUGUAAACCUCUUUUAUAGGGGAAUAAAGGUAUCCACGUGUGGAUAUUUGCAUGUAUCCCAUGAAUAAGCAUCGGCUAACUCCGUGCCAGCAGCCGCGGUUAUUCGGAGGAUGCGAGCGUUAUCCGGAAUUAUUGGGGUUAAAGGGUGCGUAGGUUGUUUUAUAAGUUAGCGGUGAAAGUUUGUGGCUCAACCAUAGAAUUGCCGUUGAAACUGGAAGACUUGAGUGUGUUUGAGGUAGGCGGAAUGCGUGGUGUAGCGGUGAAAUGCAUAGAUAUCACGCAGAACUCCGAUUGCGAAGGCAGCUUACUAGGCCAUAACUGACACUGAAGCACGAAAGCGUGGGGAUCAAACAGGAUUAGAUACCCUUGUAGUC